rnacentral:lncRNA from 1 species
UCUUUAGUUUUUGUUUUUGACUGGUUAAUAUAGACCAAAAUUAUAGAGUUGGUAUGUUAAUAAUCUUAGUAUGCUUUUAUUUUCAAAUUGACAAUAAUGUAAAUAGGCCUGGAUAUGAAUGGGGGUUAUAGCGUUCUAAUCCUAUAUUUAGCUAUUGUUGGUAUGGUGGAAAAGAUUGUACACUACUGAUGUUUACUUAUGUGAUGUACCUUUGUCACUAUUAUUAGCUCUUG